rnacentral:lncRNA from 1 species
GUUUCCGCAUUUACAUUAAGCAUUUAAGUUUCAAUCGUGUAUUCAUACUUAUCUAGUGUAGAUUGAAACUUAGCCUUUGCGGUAGAGAUAGCAACACUUAGACAAAACCUAGUUGCUCAUUCUAGUUUGUCUAUUUGCAUAGGUUUUGCUCUAGGGAUUUAAUUGUGGCCUAGUUUAGAGAAAGUUUUAGAAGUCCUAAUUCACCCCCCCCUCUUAGGUGUCACCCGUUUCCUACAGAUCUAUAUCAAAUGUUUGAACAAAAUCUAUAUCCACGAUAAAGUUGAUUCGUGGUACAUCUAGGUGGAUUUAAUUGGAUUUGGAGCUGAUGGAUCUCUAUUAAGGUAGUGUUUGGGAAUGCUCCACUCCAAAAAAUCUAGCUUCAAUAUAACUCCUUCCAACCAAACACCUCCUGUUCAAUCAACUCCGGCUCCAUAAAAAAUUCGGAUCUAGGCCCCCAACUCCAAGUUUUUUGUGAAGCUUCAAAUAGGUGCUUCGGAAAUCAUUGUUUUGUACCUCCUCAUAGAAUUGUGGGGGUAAUUACUCGUAUUGCCACCCAAGACCUCGUGGAUAGUCGGGUGGUUCUCCUCGUCGUGCCUCCUCUUCCGCGCCGAUGAGCGACUCCCCCGGCAUGCCUCCUCCACAUCGGCAGGUGGCUUGCCAACAUCGCUCCUCCUCAACGUCGGCCGAUGGGCUCACCGCAACUGCACAUCGGUUUGCGUCAACGUUUGGGGUUGCACCAGCGAGGAUGGAGACAGUCGCCUCAUGCCUCACAUCAUUCCAUCAAGAGAGGUGACCGAGUUAGUGGGGAUGGGAGCGAGAAACAGUGGAGUUGGAUCACCUACAUGUGGAUCGUUUAAAACAAGGAUAUAAUAGACAUUUACCCUAAAAUCUAUCAUUCACUGAACUAGAAUAAGAUGUUAAGCCAAACAUUUUUUCUAUUCCAACUCCAUGGUGGAGCUGCUAAAAGAUAGAGUUCGUAGAGUAGAGUGGAGCUGAAUUUCUUGGAGUUGAGUAGUCCAAAACGCCUUUUACAUAGAUCCUUAGAAAAAUUUAGCUCACUACGAAAUCAAACUAAACAAUAGUUUGGAAGAAAUGUUGUAGUGGUUUUCUUAUAAAUAAUUUCUCUUUAUGUAUUUAUAUUUUAUCGAUGAUUAAGGGUCUCUUUGGAACCAC